UUAAGUGACUAAGCGUACACGGUGGAUGCCUGGGCAGUCAGAGGCGAUGAAGGACGUACUAACUUGCGAUAAGCGCAGAUAAGGCAGUAAGAGCCGUUUGAGUCUGCGAUUUCCGAAUGGGGAAACCCAACUGCAUAAGCAGUUACUGUUAACUGAAUACAUAGGUUAACAGAGCAAACCGGGGGAACUGAAACAUCUAAGUACCCCGAGGAGAAGAAAUCAACCGAGAUUCCGGUAGUAGCGGCGAGCGAACCUGGAUUAGCCCUUAAGCACUCGGUGAAGUAGGUGAACAAGCUGGAAAGCUUGGCGAUACAGGGUGAUAGCCCCGUAACCGACGCUUCAUCGAGCGUGAAAUCGAGUAGGGCGGGACACGUGAUAUCCUGUCUGAAUAUGGGGGGACCAUCCUCCAAGGCUAAAUACUCCUGACUGACCGAUAGUGAACCAGUACCGUGAGGGAAAGGCGAAAAGAACCCCUGUGAGGGGAGUGAAAUAGAACCUGAAACCGUGUACGUACAAGCAGUAGGAGCACCUUCGUGGUGUGACUGCGUACCUUUUGAUAAUGGGUCAGCGACUUAUAUUCAGUGGCAAGGUUAACCGUAUAGGGGAGCCGUAGCGAAAGCGAGUCUUAACUGGGCGCUCAGUCUCUGGAUAUAGACCCGAAACCGGGUGAUCUAGCCAUGGGCAGGUUGAAGGUUGAGUAACAUCAACUGGAGGACCGAACCGACUAAUGUUGAAAAAUUAGCGGAUGACUUGUGGCUAGGGGUGAAAGGCCAAUCAAACUCGGAGAUAGCUGGUUCUCCCCGAAAGCUAUUUAGGUAGCGCCUCGGACGAAUACUACUGGGGGUAGAGCACUGUUAAGGCUAGGGGGUCAUCCCGACUUACCAACCCUUUGCAAACUCCGAAUACCAGUAAGUACUAUCCGGGAGACACACGGCGGGUGCUAACGUCCGUCGUGGAGAGGGAAACAACCCAGACCGCCAGCUAAGGUCCCAAAGUAUUGCUAAGUGGGAAACGAUGUGGGAAGGCUCAGACAGCUAGGAUGUUGGCUUAGAAGCAGCCAUCAUUUAAAGAAAGCGUAAUAGCUCACUAGUCGAGUCGGCCUGCGCGGAAGAUGUAACGGGGCUAAGCAAUACACCGAAGCUGCGGCAAUGUCUUUUAGAUAUUGGGUAGGGGAGCGUUCUGUAAGCCGUUGAAGGUGAAUCGUAAGGUUUGCUGGAGGUAUCAGAAGUGCGAAUGCUGACAUGAGUAACGACAAAGGGGGUGAAAAACCUCCUCGCCGGAAGACCAAGGGUUCCUGUCCAACGUUAAUCGGGGCAGGGUGAGUCGACCCCUAAGGUGAGGCCGAAAGGCGUAAUCGAUGGGAAACGGGUUAAUAUUCCCGUACUUCUGACUAUUGCGAUGGGGGGACGGAGAAGGCUAGGUGGGCCAGGCGACGGUUGUCCUGGUUCAAGUGCGUAGGCUUGAGGGUUAGGUAAAUCCGGCUCUCUCUAAGGCUGAGACACGACGUCGAGCUGCUACGGCAGUGAAGUCAUUGAUGCCAUGCUUCCAGGAAAAGCCUCUAAGCUUCAGAUAGUCAGGAAUCGUACCCCAAACCGACACAGGUGGUCGGGUAGAGAAUACCAAGGCGCUUGAGAGAACUCGGGUGAAGGAACUAGGCAAAAUGGUACCGUAACUUCGGGAGAAGGUACGCUCUUGAUGGUGAAGUCCCUCGCGGAUGGAGCUGACGAGAGUCGCAGAUACCAGGUGGCUGCAACUGUUUAUUAAAAACACAGCACUGUGCAAAAUCGCAAGAUGACGUAUACGGUGUGACGCCUGCCCGGUGCCGGAAGGUUAAUUGAUGGGGUUAGCGCAAGCGAAGCUCUUGAUCGAAGCCCCGGUAAACGGCGGCCGUAACUAUAACGGUCCUAAGGUAGCGAAAUUCCUUGUCGGGUAAGUUCCGACCUGCACGAAUGGCGUAAUGAUGGCCACGCUGUCUCCACCCGAGACUCAGUGAAAUUGAAAUCGCUGUGAAGAUGCAGUGUACCCGCGGCUAGACGGAAAGACCCCGUGAACCUUUACUACAGCUUGGCACUGAACAUUGAACCUACAUGUGUAGGAUAGGUGGGAGGCUAUGAAGACGUGACGCCAGUUGCGUUGGAGCCGUCCUUGAAAUACCACCCUUGUAUGUUUGAUGUUCUAACUUAGACCCAUUAUCUGGGUUGAGGACAGUGCCUGGUGGGUAGUUUGACUGGGGCGGUCUCCUCCCAAAGAGUAACGGAGGAGCACGAAGGUGGGCUAAUCACGGUUGGACAUCGUGAGGUUAGUGCAAUGGCAUAAGCCCGCUUAACUGCGAGAAUGACGGUUCGAGCAGGUGCGAAAGCAGGUCAUAGUGAUCCGGUGGUUCUGUAUGGAAGGGCCAUCGCUCAACGGAUAAAAGGUACUCCGGGGAUAACAGGCUGAUACCGCCCAAGAGUUCAUAUCGACGGCGGUGUUUGGCACCUCGAUGUCGGCUCAUCACAUCCUGGGGCUGAAGUCGGUCCCAAGGGUAUGGCUGUUCGCCAUUUAAAGUGGUACGCGAGCUGGGUUUAGAACGUCGUGAGACAGUUCGGUCCCUAUCUGCCGUGGGCGUUGGAAGAUUGAAGGGGGCUGCUCCUAGUACGAGAGGACCGGAGUGGACGAACCUCUGGUGUUCGGGUUGUGUCGCCAGACGCAUUGCCCGGUAGCUAAGUUCGGAAUUGAUAAGCGCUGAAAGCAUCUAAGCGCGAAGCGAGCCCUGAGAUGAGUCUUCCCUGAUACUUUAAGUAUCCUAAAGGGUUGUUCGAGACUAGAACGUUGAUAGGCAGGGUGUGUAAGCGUUGUGAGGCGUUGAGCUAACCUGUACUAAUUGCCCGUGAGGCUUAACCAU
rnacentral:rRNA from 1 species